CAACGCUGGCGGCGUGCCUAAACACAUGCAAGUCGAACGCGAAAGUGGAGCAAUCCAUGAGUAGAGUGGCAAACAGGUGAGUAACACGUGGGUGACCUGCCUUAGAGUGGGGGAUAACGUCCCGAAAGGGACGCUAAUACCGCAUAACAUGCUGCCUUUUAAGAGGUGGACAUCAAAGCCGGGGACCGCAAGGCCUGGCGCUUAAAGAGGGGCCCGCGCCUGAUUAGGUAGUUGGUGGGGUAAUGGCCUACCAAGCCUGCGAUCGGUAGCUGGUCUGAGAGGACGAUCAGCCACACUGGGACUGAGACACGGCCCAGACUCCUACGGGAGGCAGCAGUGGGGAAUAUUGGACAAUGGGCGAAAGCCUGAUCCAGCAAUGCCGCGUGUGUGAAGAAGGUCUUCGGAUCGUAAAGCACUUUCGACAGGGACGAUGAUGACGGUACCUGUAGAAGAAGCCCCGGCUAACUUCGUG
rnacentral:rRNA from 1 species